rnacentral:rRNA from 1 species
AACGUAGGAGGCAAGCGUUAUCCGGAUUUACUGGGCGUAAAGCGUGUGCAGGCGGUUGUCCAAGUCGUGUAUGAAAGCGCUCCGCUUAACGGGGCGAGGCUAGACGAGACUGGGCGACUAGAAUCAGACAGAGGCAAGCGGAAUUCCGGGUGUAGUGGUGAAAUGCGUAGAUAUCGAGAGGAACACCAGUGGCGAAGGCGAGUCCCUGGACGAUACCUGACACUGAGGCACGAAAGCCAAGGGAGCAAACAGG